GGUAUUCAUUCUUACUUUAUGCAGGUGUGUUACAGGUGCGUUACAGGUGUGUUACAGGUGCGCUACAGGUGUGUUACAGGUGCGUUACAGGUGUGUUACAGGUGCGUUACAGGUGUGUUACAGGUGCGUUACAGGUGUGUUACAGGUGCGCUACAGGUGCGCUACAGGUGCGCUACAGGUGUGUUACAGGUGCGCUACAGGUGCGCUACAGGUGCGCUACAGGUGCGUUACAGGUGCGUUACAGGUGCGCUACAGGUGCGCUACAGGUGCGUUACAGGUGCGCUACAGGUGCGUUACAGGUGCGUUACAGGUGCGUUACAGGUGCGCUACAGGUGCGUUACAGGUGCGCUACAGGUGCGUUACAGGUGCGCUACAGGUGCGCUACAGGUGCGUUACAGGUGCGCUACAGUUCCCUUGCGGGGUGCUGAAUACAUUUAACUCAGUCGCUGAAAACACCUCCCAUUUUGUUAAGACAGCAGAUUUUUUCAUUCGGUAGUGUUUUCAGUCCAUUUAUCUAAAGCCGUCCCUUUUAAAUUUGAAUUUUCUCUACAGACUCACUAGAAUAUAUUGGGAGAAGAGAUCAGAAUAUUAGGGAUCAAAUAAAGAAAGUCUAGUUUAGUCAGCCACCAAUUGUGCAAGUUCUCCCACUUAAAAAGAUGAGAGAGGCCUGUAAUUUUCAUCAUAGGUACACUUCAACUAUGACAGACAAAAUGAGAGAGAAAAAAAUCCAGAAAAUCACAUUGUAGGAUUUUUUAUGACUUUUUUUGCAAAUUAUUGUGGAAAAUAAGUAUUUGGUCAAUAACAAAAGUUUAUCUCAAUACAAAAUACACACAAUUCUUCCCCUUUUUAGCACCAAUUGUAGAUUAUUUCGGGUUAGGGAAGUAUUUAUGAAUAAUAACCCCCCAAAAAAGUUUGGAGAGCCUGUAUGCACAAAUAUAUUGGUGAAUCAACCAAAAUGUGCCGCCCUUUGCGAGGCACUACAAAACCGCCCUGGUCUUCGUGGUUGAAUCUGUGUUUGGUCCAAAGUAGUGCACUACAUAGGGAAUAGGGAGGCAUUUCAGAUGCGGACUUCCUCCCUCAGUCACAGUACUUUUUACAUUGCCGUUUAUAGGGACCUUACAAUUAACUGUAUGUGUUGAGUACAGAGAUGAGGUAGUCAUUCAAAAAAUCAUGUUAAACACUCAUUGCACACGGUGAGUCUAUGCAACUUGGUAUGUGACGAACAGGCCCCCACUUUAACAUCUACGGGGCUGCGCUCGCGGUGAGCGGGUCGAGAGUUUCAAGUUCUUUGGUGUCCACAUCACCAGCAAACUAUCAUGGGCCAAACACACCAGGACAGUCAUGAAGAGGGCACGACAACACCUUUUCCCAACAUUUGGUAUGGGUCCCCAUCUCUUCAAAAAGUUCUACAGCUGCACCAUCGAGAGCUUCCUGACCGGUUGCAUCACCGCCUGCUAUGGCAACUGCUCGGCCUCCGACCGCAAGGCGCUACAGAGGGUAGUGUGUACGGCCCAGUACAUCACUGGGGCCAAGCUUCCUGCCUUCCAGGACCUCUUUACCAGGCGGUGUCAGAGGAAGAACCUAAAAAUUGUCUGUCUCCAGCCCCCCUAGUCAUACACUGUUCUCUCUGCUACCGCACAGCAAGAGGUACCGGAGCGCCAAGUCUAGGACCAAGAGGCUCCUUAACAGCUUCUACCCCCAAGCCUUAAGACUGAUGAACAAUUAAUCAAAUGUUUCUUAAAUGUUUCUUAACUCGAUUUAUUGAACUGCAUUGUUGGUUAAGGGCUUGUAAGUAGGCAUUUCACAGUAAGGUCUACACCUGUUGGUUAAGGGAUGGUAAGUCAGCAUUUCACAGUAAGGUCUACUACACCUGUUGGUUAAGGGAUGGUAAGUCAGCAUUUCACAGUAAGGUCUACUACACCUGUUGGUUAUGGGAUGGUAAAUCAGCAUUUCACAGUAAGGUCUACUACACCUGUUGUAUUCGGAUUAUACCCUGAUGAAGACAGCUUGUCUGGAUAUAAAUAUUUUUGCAUCUUGA